ensembl:misc_RNA 7SK 7SK RNA
GGAAGUGAGGACAAUGUGUCUGUGACACUUGGUGGCACACUGAUUUCUAGGGUUGAUUUGACUUGGUGGCUGUGGUAGGGUAGUUGUUUGUUCACUUCCUCAGUCUCCUCCAAGUGUCUCCUUUGCAAAGCUGUGCACUUGGUGGGAGGGGAUGACAUUCUUGCAGAAAGGAGGAUUGUUCUUUAAUCAAGGGUAUGCAAGCUGUGCUCUCUGAAAGAACCUCAAACAGGCCACCAAGAGAUAGUACAUGCAAAGAAAGCCUGGACACUCUGUAACUGUGUUUAGUUCCUCGCUUUAUCUGUAGUUUCCCUGGUUUUAGAACUCACAGUCAUCA